AUUGAACGCUGGCGGCAUGUCUUACACAUGCAAGUCGAACGGUAACAGGUCUUCGGAUGCUGACAAGUGGCGAACGGGUGAGUAAUACAUCGGAACGUGCCUAGUAGUGGGGGAUAACUACUCGAAAGAGUGGCUAAUACCGCAUGAGAUCUACGGAUGAAAGCAGGGGAUCGCAAGACCUUGUGCUACUAGAGCGGCCGAUGGCAGAUUAGGUAGUUGGUGGGAUAAAAGCUUACCAAGCCGACGAUCUGUAGCUGGUCUGAGAGGACGAUCAGCCACACUGGGACUGAGACACGGCCCAGACUCCUACGGGAGGCAGCAGUGGGGAAUUUUGGACAAUGGGCGCAAGCCUGAUCCAGCAAUGCCGCGUGCAGGAUGAAGGCCUUCGGGUUGUAAACUGCUUUUGUACGGAACGAAAAGCCCUGGGUUAAUACCCUGGGGUCAUGACGGUACCGUAAGAAUAAGCACCGGCUAACUACGUGCCAGCCGCCGCGGUAAAAC
rnacentral:rRNA from 1 species